rnacentral:snoRNA from 1 species
AAACCAUGAUGAGGACACUAUAAAAUAAGGUCUUUGAAACGUUCCAUACAUAGAGAGAAUGAUUCAUUGGGUCUUUGGCAAAACUGAAAAAUGUCGUUCCUAAGAUU